rnacentral:rRNA from 1 species
GACGAACGCUGGCGGCGUGCCUAAUACAUGCAAGUUGAGCGCUGAAGGUUGGUACUUGUACCGAUUGGAUGAGCAGCGAACGGGUGAGUAACGCGUGGGUAAUCUGCCUUUGAGCGUGGGACAACAUUUGGAAACGAAUGCUAAUACCGCAUAAAAUCUUUAAACACAAGUUUUAAGUUUGAAAGAUGCAAUUGCAUCACUCAAAGAUGAUCUCGCGUUGUAUUAGCUAGUUUGUUAGGUAAACGCUCACCAAGGCGAAGAUACAUAGCCGGACUGAGAAGGUGAACGGGCAAAAUGGGACUUGGACACGGCCCAAGCUCCUUAGGGAGGCAGCAGUAGGGGAAUUUCGGCAAUGGACGGAAGGCUUACCGAACAAAGGCGGGGGGGGUAAGAAGGGUUUCGGAACGUAAAACUCUGUUGAUAGGGAAGGACGUAGGGGAGAGUGAAAAGUUCAUGAAUUGACGGUAACUACCCAGAAAGGGACGGCUAACUACGUG